rnacentral:lncRNA from 1 species
AUUAAGAUGGCUGCUAGAAGCUUCUUGCUCCUUUCCCCCCCCCCCCUUCCCUUUCUCCUUCCUAACAUCGACUAACUACCUCGUGCACCAAGAUGGCGCCGGGAAACCGUGGGAGACCCUCAUGGUCCCGGUGACAUCACCUACAGUAGGCAGAACAUUAGAGCAACCACUUAACACCUAACCAAUAAUUGAUGUAUUAUUCCCUGUUAUCUCUGACAAUGCUUAUGAUGUAAUUUUGCUUUAAAAGGGACUUGCCGUCCCCUCUGAAUAAACAUUCCUCAAGUUAUUCAACAACCUGGAACCUGUGUCUGGUGUGAAUUACUUCAGGGAGCGUGCACGCA